rfam:Bacilli bacterium VT-13-104 contig058, whole genome shotgun sequence.
UCAACUUUUAAUUAAAUCCAGAGAGAUUUAAAAGGUUGUAUGUAGUGGUGUGCUUUAAAUAUGAUUUUUUGGCAUGCUUACCUCUUUGCAACCUUUAUGCAAAGAGGUUUUUUUAU